AUUGCGGGAUAUUCUGUACGAGAUCAAUAAAUGUCCCUCCGUCUGUCCGCAGCUUCUGGAGCUUCAGGAUGUCCUGGAAAAACUCCAAUCCAAGAGAGGAACCCUGUGGGAGUCCAAACUCAGCCAAAUGCCCAAGUGCAUCAUGGGAGACGCGUGCGCGGUAAAACGCGGACUCCGGAUCGGCAAGCUCUGUGACUGCCCCAGACGGAGCGUCUGCAACCAAUUCUUCCUGAGGUGCCUCUGAGAGACGGUCGGGAGGGGCGCCCCCCACACUUCCUUUUCUUCUGCGACUUGUGCGAAGUUUGAGAAAACUGUCCGCCAUAUUGGAGAGACGAGACGAGCGAGCAGACUUAGAGACGCUCCGCUUAUCUCCCGAUCGGAAGACAGCGUCCCGAGAGAGCCGCCAAUCUCCGGAGACCUGGCCCCCCCCGAGGGACGACCAUGAUUGAGAAGAAGACAAUCCCGCCGGAUGAGCUGAUCCUCGGAGCGCUAAUCUGAUGAUGAUGGCGGAUGAGGCUUGGGAUGGGAGCGAUGGCGCCCGAGCGCUCUCGCCCUGCGGGGCGGAUUAUUGUAAAGGAGGAAAUAAAUACUUUGUAUCAUUUGA